rnacentral:rRNA from 1 species
AGACCCGAAACCCGGUGAUCUAGCCAUGGGCAGGUUGAAGGUUGGGUAACACUAACUGGAGGACCGAACCGACUAAUGUUGAAAAAUUAGCGGAUGACCUGUGGCUGGGGGUGAAAGGCCAAUCAAACCGGGAGAUAGCUGGUUCUCCCCGAAAGCUAUUUAGGUAGCGCCUCGUGAAUUCAUCUCCGGGGGUAGAGCACUGUUUCGGCUAGGGGGCCAUCCCGGCUUACCAACCCGAUGCAAACUGCGAAUACCGGAGAAUGUUAUCACGGGAGACACACGGCGGGUGCUAACGUCCGUCGUGAAGAGGGAAACAACCCAGACCGCCAGCUAAGGUCCCAAAGUCAUGGUUAAGUGGGAAACGAUGUGGGAAGGCCCAGACAGCCAGGAUGUUGGCUUAGAAGCAGCCAUCAUUUAAAGAAAGCGUAAUAGCUCACUGGUCGAGUCGGCCUGCGCGGAAGAUGUAACGGGGCUAAACCAUGCACCGAAGCUGCGGCAGCGACACUCAGGUGUUGUUGGGUAGGGGAGCGUUCUGUAAGCCUGUGAAGGUGGCCUGUGAGGGUUGCUGGAGGUAUCAGAAGUGCGAAUGCUGACAUAAGUAACGAUAAAGCGGGUGAAAAGCCCGCUCGCCGGAAGACCAAGGGUUCCUGUCCAACGUUAAUCGGGGCAGGGUGAGUCGACCCCUAAGGCGAGGCCGAAAGGCGUAGUCGAUGGGAAACGGGUUAAUAUUCCCGUACUUGGUGUUACUGCGAAGGGGGGACGGAGAAGGCUAUGUUGGCCGGGCGACGGUUGUCCCGGUUUAAGCGUGUAGGUGUGUGUUCCAGGUAAAUCCGGUUCACUUUAACACUGAGGCGUGAUGACGAGGCACUACGGUGCUGAAGCAACAAAUGCCCUGCUUCCAGGAAAAGCCUCUAAGCAUCAGGUAACAUCAAAUCGUACCCCAAACCGACACAGGUGGUCAGGUAGAGAAUACCAAGGCGCUUGAGAGAACUCGGGUGAAGGAACUAGGCAAAAUGGUGCCGUAACUUCGGGAGAAGGCACGCUGACACG